UACGGAGGGUGCGAGCGUUUGUUCGGAAUUACUGGGCGUAAAGCGCGUGUAGGCGGCCUCUUCAGUCUGGUGUGAAAGCCCGGGGCUCAACCCCGGAAGUGCAUUGGAUACUGGGAGGCUGGAGUACCGGAGAGGAGGGUGGAAUUCCUGGUGUAGCGGUGAAAUGCGCAGAUAUCAGGAAGAACACCCGUGGCGAAGGCGGCUUUCUGGGACGGUACUGACGCUGAGGUGCGAAAGCGUGGGGAGCAAACAGG
rnacentral:rRNA from 1 species